rnacentral:rRNA from 1 species
AGUGAACGCUGGCGGUAGGCCUAACACAUGCAAGUCGAACGGCAGCACAGUAAGAGCUUGCUCUUACGGGUGGCGAGUGGCGGACGGGUGAGGAAUACAUCGGAAUCUACUUUUUCGUGGGGGAUAACGUAGGGAAACUUACGCUAAUACCGCAUACGACCUACGGGUGAAAGCAGGGGAUCUUCGGACCUUGCGCGAUUGAAUGAGCCGAUGUCGGAUUAGCUAGUUGGCGGGGUAAAGGCCCACCAAGGCGACGAUCCGUAGCUGGUCUGAGAGGAUGAUCAGCCACACUGGAACUGAGACACGGUCCAGACUCCUACGGGAGGCAGCAGUGGGGAAUAUUGGACAAUGGGCGCAAGCCUGAUCCAGCCAUACCGCGUGGGUGAAGAAGGCCUUCGGGUUGUAAAGCCCUUUUUUUGGGAAAGAAAAGCAGCAGGUUAAUACCCCGCUGUUCUGACGGUACCCAAAGAAUAAGCACCGGCUAACUUCGUGC